ACGUGACCCGCGAGCGUAUUUGCCGAGCGCACUGGUAGGGCACACGCACACACGCAACCAACUGGCGUCACUUGGUGAGCUCACUGCGGAACCCAACGCGAGACCUCAUUUUGUUUCUUUGGUGAAUUUCCAAGCAGUCAUUUUUGAAAUGACGUUUUUUGUUUGAGUUCUGAAUGUUUCUGGGCUAUGAUGUGGACGCGCCUAAAACACUUGGGUGCAAGUGCCACCACAUGCUGGGUGGAAUUAACAGUGAGAAGAACACACACACUCGGUGAACCAAGCACUCCGGGCGUCUUAGUUGGCGAGUCUCCUGUGCAUUUCCUUCCAGUGAGCUCAUGGAAUGAACUCUGAUUUCUUGGCAGCGAGUGACGACAGGUGCUAAGGGGAGUCUUGUUAAGGGCUUGAAUCAAUUGAAUUGUAUUCACGCUUGAAAGAUCAAAGUUAA